rnacentral:rRNA from 1 species
GAGUUUGAUCUUGGCUCAGAUUGAACGCUGGCGGCAGGCCUAACACAUGCAAGUCGAGCGGUAGAGAGAAGCUUGCUUCUCUUGAGAGCGGCGGACGGGUGAGUAAUGCCUAGGAAUCUGCCUGGUAGUGGGGGAUAACGCUCGGAAACGGACGCUAAUACCGCAUACGUCCUACGGGAGAAAGCAGGGGACCUUCGGGCCUUGCGCUAUCAGAUGAGCCUAGGUCGGAUUAGCUAGUUGGUGAGGUAAUGGCUCACCAAGGCGACGACCCGUAACUGGUCUGAGAGGAUGAUCAGUCACACUGGAACUGAGACACGGUCCAGACUCCUACGGGAGGCAGCAGUGGGGAAUAUUGGACAAUGGGCGAAAGCCUGAUCCAGCCAUGCCGCGUGUGUGAAGAAGGUCUUCGGAUUGUAAAGCACUUUAAGUUGGGAGGAAGGGCAGUAAAUUAAUACUUUGCUGUUUUGACGUUACCGACAGAAUAAGCACCGGCUAACUCUGUGCCAGCCGCCG